UAUAAAGGUAUAAAGUAAGGGUGGCUGAACUGGGCUGUAAAUAUUUGCCAUCCUUUUUUUUUAAAUUUCUUUCAGAGGGAAGUCUGACAUGUCCUUCAUCCUCAUUCAGUGCAGACUGACUCCCACACUUCUUGCCUGCUGAUCAGAUAGCUGGCCUCUGGGAUGUUACCAGACGUCCUCAGGUAUCAGACUCACCAACUCAGAGUUCUUCCUCAUUACCUUACUUCAGCUUCCCAGGUAUCCCUGCCCCUCGCUCUCCUUGGACUUGUAGCUAAGAUUUUACAAGACCUUUUAUCCUUCAGAUGGAUGCCUUGGAAACAGCUUUGGGGGCAGUGCUGUGUCAAGACAGAGAAGGUGCUGAGAAACUCAUUUCUAAUGCAAGUAGAAUACUGAACACUGCCGAUAAGAGGUAUGCUACUGUAAAAAGGCAAUGCCUAGCGAUCAAGUGGGUGGUGGAGUAUUUUAGAUAUUAUCUAAUAGGAGA
rnacentral:lncRNA from 1 species